rnacentral:rRNA from 1 species
AUGGAUGGUUUUUUUAGAAUGAAGGCUCAAGAAGAGCCCGGCUUUGAAUUAACAAAGCCAUCAACCGGCCAGGAAUACAAGAAACAAGAACACCACACCACAUCGGCCAAAAGAUACAAGGGGGCUGCAAGAACAGCUUACAACGCUACUCCACCAACCAGGAAACAGAAGAUGAACUAUGAAGAACUGCUAGUUGAGGAUAAGCCCCACUACAACAAGGCACCAAUAUGGCUACAAGUGCAGCCUCGAGGAGCACCGGCAAGGAAUCGGACACAGGGAGGAAACCAGCAGAUGAGAUGA